UGAAACACGGACCAAGGAGUCUAACAUGUGCGCGAGUCAUUGGGUGUUUAAAACCUAAAGGCGAAAUGAAAGUAAAGCUAAUCUUCCGGUUGGCGAUAUGAGACCGGUUUGUUCACGCAGGCCGUGCAUCAUAGUCCCAUUCUAAUGGCUUGCCCAUGGAGUGGAGACAGAGCGGACAUGUUGGGACCCGAAAGAUGGUGAACUAUGCCUGAGCAGAACGAAGCCAGAGGAAACUCUGGUGGAAGUUCGAAGCAAUUCUGACGUGCAAAUCGAUUGUCAGACUUGGGUAUAGGGGCGAAAGACUAAUCGAACCAUCUAGUAGCUGGUUCCCUCCGAAGUUUCCCCCAGGAUAGCUGGCAUUUAUAGACGCAGUCUUAUCCGGUAAAGCGAAUGAUUAGAGGCCUUGGGGGCGAAACGUCCUCAACCUAUUCUCAAACUUUAAAUGGGUAAGAAGUCCUGCUUUCCCGACCGAAGCACGGACACUGGAUGCAAGUGCCAAGUGGGCCAUUUUUGGUAAGCA
rnacentral:rRNA from 1 species